UAGUCCACGCCGUAAACGAUGAGUGCUAAGUGUUAGAGGGUUUCCGCCCUUUAGUGCUGCAGCAAACGCAUUAAGCACUCCGCCUGGGGAGUACGGCCGCAAGGCUGAAACUCAAAGGAAUUGACGGGGGCCCGCACAAGCGGUGGAGCAUGUGGUUUAAUUCGAAGCAACGCGAAGAACCUUACCAGGUCUUGACAUCCUUUGCCACUCCUAGAGAUAGGAUUUUCCCCUUCGGGGGACAAAGUGACAGGUGGUGCAUGGUUGUCGUCAGCUCGUGUCGUGAGAUGUUGGGUUAAGUCCCGCAACGAGCGCAACCCUUGUUCUUAGUUGCCAGCAUUUAGUUGGGCACUCUAAGGAGACUGCCGGUGACAAACCGGAGGAAGGUGGGGAUGACGUCAAAUCAUCAUGCCCCUUAUGACCUGGGCUACACACGUGCUACAAUGGAUGGUACAAGGGGUCGCAAAACCGCGAGGUCGAGCCAAUCCCAUAAACAUUCUCAGUUCGGAUUGUAGGCUGCAACUCGCCUACAUGAAGUCGGAAUCGCUAGUAAUCGUGAAUCAGCGAUGUCACGGUGAAUACGUUCCCGGGUCUUGUACACACCGCCCGUCACACCAUGGGAGUUGAUUGCACCAGAAGUAGGUAGCCUAACCGCAAGGAGGGCGCUUACCACGGUGUGGUCAAUGACUGGGGUGUAGCCUAACCGCAAGGAGGGCGCUUACCACGGUGUGGUCAAUGACUGGGGUGAAGUCGUAACAAGGUAACCGUAAAUCGUCGACCUG
rnacentral:rRNA from 1 species